GACGAACGCUGGCGGCGUGCCUAAUACAUGCAAGUCGAACGCUGAAGGAGGAGCUUGCUUCUCUGGAUGAGUUGCGAACGGGUGAGUAACGCGUAGGUAACCUGCCUGGUAGCGGGGGAUAACUAUUGGAAACGAUAGCUAAUACCGCAUAACAGUAGAUAUCGCAUGAUAUCUACUUGAAAGGUGCAAUUGCAUCACUACCAGAUGGACCUGCGUUGUAUUAGCUAGUUGGUGAGGUAACGGCUCACCAAGGCGACGAUACAUAGCCGACCUGAGAGGGUGAUCGGCCACACUGGGACUGAGACACGGCCCAGACUCCUACGGGAGGCAGCAGUAGGGAAUCUUCGGCAAUGGACGGAAGUCUGACCGAGCAACGCCGCGUGAGUGAAGAAGGUUUUCGGAUCGUAAAGCUCUGUUGUAAGAGAAGAACGAGUGUGAGAGUGGAAAGUUCACACUGUGACGGUAUCUUACCAGAAAGAGACGGCUAACUACGUG
rnacentral:rRNA from 1 species